GAUGAACGCUGGCGGCGUGCCUAAUACAUGCAAGUCGAGCGAACAGACGAGGAGCUUGCUCCUCUGACGUUAGCGGCGGACGGGUGAGUAACACGUGGAUAACCUACCUAUAAGACUGGGAUAACUUCGGGAAACCGGAGCUAAUACCGGAUAAUAUAUUGAACCGCAUGGUUCAAUAGUGAAAGACGGUUUUGCUGUCACUUAUAGAUGGAUCCGCGCCGCAUUAGCUAGUUGGUAAGGUAACGGCUUACCAAGGCAACGAUGCGUAGCCGACCUGAGAGGGUGAUAGGCCACACGGGAACUGAGACACGGUCCAGACUCCUAAGGGAGGCAGCAGUAGGGAAUCUUCCGCAAUGGGCGAAAGCCUGACGGAGCAACGCCGCGUGAGUGAUGAAGGUCUUCGGAUCGUAAAACUCUGUUAUUAGGGAAGAACAAAUGUGUAAGUAACUAUGCACGUCUUGACGGUACCUAAUCAGAAAGCCACGGCUAACUACGUG
rnacentral:rRNA from 1 species